rnacentral:rRNA from 1 species
GAUGAACGCUGGCGGCGUGCCUAACACAUGCAAGUCGAACGGAGUUGUCACCAUGAAGUUUUCGGAUGGAUUGGUAACAACUUAGUGGCGGACGGGUGAGUAACGCGUGGGUAACCUGCCUCAUACUGGGGGAUAACAGCUGGAAACGGCUGCUAAAACCGCAUAAGAUCGCAUCACCGCAUGGUGAGGCGGUUAAAUAUCGAAAGAUAGGUAUGAGAUGGGCCCGCGUCUGAUUAGCUAGUUGGUGAGAUAAGAGCCCACCAAGGCGACGAUCAGUAGCCGGCUUGAGAGAGUGACCGGCCACAUUGGGACUGAGACACGGCCCAAACUCCUACGGGAGGCAGCAGUGGGGAAUAUUGCACAAUGGGGGAAACCCUGAUGCAGCGACGCCGCGUGAGUGAAGAAGUGCUUCGGCAUGUAAAGCUCUAUCAGCAGGGAAGAAGGAUGACGGUACCUGACUAAGAACGCCCCGGCUAACUACGUGACCCG